ACUCGCCGAGGCCACGCCGAGUAGGACCGAGGGUACAGCGAGU
rfam:Equine rhinovirus 3 strain P313/75, complete genome.